rnacentral:rRNA from 1 species
UCGGGAAUAUUGUGCAAUGGGGGGAACCCUGACACAGCAAUGCCACGUGAGUGAAGAAGGUCUUCGGAUCGUAAAGCUCUUUUAUCGGAGAAGAGGAUGACAUUAUCCGAAGAAAAAGCACCGGCUAACUACGUGCCAGCAGCCGCGGUAAUACGUAGGGUGCAAGCGUUGUUCGGAAUUAUUGGGCGUAAAGGGCAUGCAGGCGGAAAAUUAAGCAAGUGGUGAAACUCUGAAGCUCAACUUCAGACUGGCUUCUUGAACUAAUUUUCUUGAGAGGAUGAGAGGUUAGCGGAAUUUCCGGUGGAGAGGUGGAAUUCGUAGAGAUCGGAAGGAAUGUCGGAGGCGUAAGCGGCUAACUGGCAUCACUCUGACGCUGAGGUGCGAAAGCGUGGGGAGCGAACAGGAUUAGAUACCCUGGUAGUCCACGCUGUAAACGAUGGAUACUAGAUGUUUUGGGGAUUAAACUCUUCAGAGUAUCGCAGCUAACGCAUUAAGUAUCCCGCCUGGGAG